AUCGCCCCAUGCCAACCUUCUUUGUAGUGUCGAGAAAGGGACAUCAAGGGACCUUGCUAGCGCCCUCAAUGUACCCCUUUUGUUUAGUGGAACUUUAGGCACCCUUUCGUCGAGAUUAAGCUCUCUCCUCUUUCUUCCGCAUCUUCCCUUCCGCUUGUUUGAGAAAUCAAGCACUUCAUUUCUGCCCUCUUGAUCUAUGGCCUUCUUCCAUGUCUUCUCAACAGAUCUAAGACUUAUUCCCAAAAGUUGAGCGACAAUUUCUUUAUCCGCCUUCACCACAGGUCUAUCAUUGCCUAGAGCUUUCAGUGCAAUAUAUGCAGCAAAUUUAUAACUCUCCGGCAUAUCUUUAUGGUGCCUCUGCACACCAUGUUCUUGUUCUUCUUCUGGAAUCUGAUCUGGCUCCGCAACAUGUUCUUGUUCUUCUUCUAGAAUCUGUUCUGGCUCCGCAGCAUGUUCUUGUUCUUGGUGUUCUUCUUCUGGAACAUGUCCUAGCUGAGCAGCAUGUUCUGGAGUAUGCGGACUGAAGUCGAGAUCCAGAUCCCUCCCUGCAUCAUCCUGCUCUUGUGGAGGAGUUAAAUUGAUAUCAAAGAGGAGGACCAUUUUCUCCUAUUGUGGACUGGGCGAGCUGCAGAAAAGAUAGACUAGAGUCAUUACAACCAUAAAGUUUCUGUAGCUAGAAGGUAGAGCUAACACAUUUGUUCCGUACUUGCAUGUACAGAUUCCAGAAAGCAUAAGUUUCAGCUACAAUUCAGCUAGCAGUUGACAAAAAUAGAUAUUUGACAUUACCAUGUAUUGCUGGUCAAGACUGAAGACCAAAGAUAGUGAGAGUGAUUGUGCUUAAUAAGUUCUGCAUUUUCACCAAGAAAAUCAACAUGUUGUAGUAUCUGAAAAUGCUUCUGAGAAAAAUAAUUGGAUGAAUCUGCAAGGAUUGUGUGGGGGAAAGGCACAAGUUAUGAAAAUCACCAUCACCAUUGGGUUACUUAAAUUCAAAUCCUAGCAUUUACCUGGAAAUGGCUUUAAAAAAUCCUAACAUAACUAUCAAACACACGAGAUCUCAAAACUGAUGGGAGCUUGAACUCUAUGAUAGUAUUUUAGAAUAAGCAGUUAAGUAUGCAUUCAUGCUUUCUUUACUUCCAAGUUCAGUGAUUCUUAAUCGGUAACCCGGUCAUUGUCUUUGUGUUGAUGAUUGGUUCGCCUUUGUAUCUUCAACUGUGUAAAAUGGAGUAUUGAGAAACAAGGCUUUUAUUAUUCUACUUCUGGAGUAUCAUCUUACUGGAGGAUCCUUCCAGAAAGUUCAUGAAGAGAUUGAAUGUUUAUCUUGCUUUUGUUGUGAUUACCAUUUAUGUUUCUUAAUGACGAUAUCCUAAUUUCUUUUUCUGCAGUGGGAAGGGAGUAUAUGGAAUGCUGAAAGACAUGUCUAGCAAUCCAGCCAAGUGGAAAGGGCGAAAAGUCCUCUUUAUCCAUACAGGUGGUCUUCUUGGGUAGUAUGAUAAGGUUGAUCAUCUGUCAUCUUUGGCUGGGAGUUGGCGCAGAAUGGAUCUCGAAGAAUCUCUCCCACGCAAAGAUGGCACUGGCGAAAGGAAAUGACUACCGUUCCGCGUUCUCUGGUCUGGGAGCUUGUCAAGAAGAACAACUGCUUCCUGAUCAAGCAGUUCGGACAGCAACAUCAAGGUGCAGUUCAGCAAGGAACCGGUCACCGUCUGAUUUUUGUUUCUCGUGGAGUACUACUUCAGCGAUGAGAACCUUCCGACGGAUGAGUUUAUGUUGAAAUUUGUCAAAGCACCGAUACGCUACAGGAAGAGUGGCAAGGAUGAUAGCAGCCAGGACCCCAUGAUCCAACCUGUCAACUCGCCCUUGAGCAGACAGAGCCUGUCCACGCUCACAGGGUUCUUCCUGAAGAACCAGGAGUUCCGCAAGAUGUGCUCUUUACUUCCAACAUUUUUACUGCUGGUCUAAAACAUAUGGAACUCUAAUAACCGCCAAUAUUAUGCUGGUCCUGGUGUUUCAUUUGAUAGAGCCUUGUCUGGCACAUGGAGCUGAAAGAUCAAGUGGUACUGAAAGUCUGAGACAAUAUGGGGUACGAUAGAUACAGCAAUUUCCUCCCAGGACAUGGUAAAAAGAGACAAGGUUCUCACCGGCAGGGCCCCCGUCCCCGGCGGGGUGGUUGCAGAAUGUAGCAGCAGCAGCACGA